AGUUUACACAGAGGUUGUUUCCAAGAGAAGGAUGUAAUUUAAAGGAUGGAGACAUCAUCUAUACCAUCCCUUAUCUCUUAACAGCCCAUCAUUUGUGUUAUGGUUGGAUCAGCAGCCAGAUCUCUGCAGCUGUGUGGACUGGGCAGACAGUUUGACAACCUGAGGAGGAAAACAAGUCAAAAGCACAGAUAGCUGGGGUCUGAAAUUUUCCACUUUCUUGUAUAACAACAGAGUAA